CUUUACUGUAGCCUGGUAUUGGGUUCGGGCUUUGACUGCGCAGGAUAGGUGGGAGACUAUGAAGCAAUCCUUGUGGGGGUUGCUGAGUCAACGGUGAGAUACCACUCUGGCAGAGCUAGAAUUCUAACUUUCUUCCCUGAAGCGGGGGAAAAGACAGUUUCAGGUGGGCAGUUUGACUGGGGCGGUCGCCUCCUAAAAGGUAACGGAGGCGCGCAAAGGUUCUCUCAGGCUGGUUGGAAAUCAGCCGUAGAGUGUAAAGGCAGAAGAGAGCUUGACUGCAAGAGCUACAACUCGAGCAGGGUGGAAACACGGCCUUAGUGAUCCGACGGCGCUGAGUGGAAGGGCCGUCGCUCAACGGAUAAAAGUUA
rnacentral:rRNA from 1 species